UAGAGUUUGAUCAUGGCUCAGAAUCAACGCUGGCGGCGCGCCUAACACACGCAAGUCGCACGAGAAAGGCUCCUUCGGGGGCUGAGUACAGUGGCGCACGGGUGAGUAACACGUGGAUACCUGCCCUCGAGUGGGGAAUAACUCUGGGAAACCGGGGCUAAUACCGCAUACGUUCGAGAGAAGAAAGCACAAUGCGCUCGGGGAGGGGUCCGCGGCUGAUUACCAAUGGGG
rnacentral:rRNA from 1 species